UCCUACGGGAGGCAGCAGUGAGGAAUAUUGCGCAAUGGGGGAAACCCUGACGCAGCAACGCCGCGUGGGUGAAGAAGGCCUUCGGGUCGUAAAGCCCUUUCGGACGGGACGAACGCUCCGCGGUGACAAGCCGCGGAGUCUGACGGUACCGUAGGAAGAAGCACCGGCUAACUCCGUGCCAGCAGCCGCGGUAAUACGGAGGGUGCGAGCGUUGUUCGGAAUUACUGGGCGUAAAGCGCGUGUAGGCGGCCUUGCAAGUCAGGCGUGAAAGCCCUCGGCUUAACCGGGGAAGUGCGUCUGAAACUGCUUGGCUUGAGUACGGGAGAGGGAGGCGGAAUUCCCAGUGUAGAGGUGAAAUUCGUAGAUAUUGGGAGGAACACCGGUGGCGAAAGCGGCCUCCUGGACCGAUACUGACGCUGAGACGCGAAAGCGUGGGGAGCAAACAGGAUUAGAUACCCCGGUAGG
rnacentral:rRNA from 1 species